GACGAACGCUGGCGGCGUGCCUAAUACAUGCAAGUAGAACGCACAGUUUAUACCGUAGCUUGCUACACCAUAGACUGUGAGUUGCGAACGGGUGAGUAACGCGUAGGUAACCUGCCUGGUAGCGGGGGAUAACUAUUGGAAACGAUAGCUAAUACCGCAUAAUAUUAAUUAUUGCAUGAUAAUUAAUUGAAGGGUGCAAUUGAACCACUACCAGAUGGACCUGCGGUGUAUUAGCUAGUAGGUGAGGUAACGGCUCACCUAGGCGACGAUACAUAGCCGACCUUGGAGGGUGAACGGCCACACUGGGACUGAGACACGGCCCAGACUCCUACGGGAGGCAGCAGUAGGGAAUCUUCGGCAAUGGACGAAAGUCUGACCGAGCAACGCCGCGUGAGUGAAGAAGGUUUUCGGAUCGUAAAGCUCUGUUGUAAGAGAAGAACGGGUGUGAGAGUGGAAAGUUCACACUGUGACGGUAUCUUACCAGAAAGGGACGGCUAACUACGUG
rnacentral:rRNA from 1 species